GGUUGUGUGGCUCAGUGGCAGAGCGCUUGCCAAGCAUGUAUGAGGCUCAGUUCAAUUCUUAGCACCAUGCA
rnacentral:tRNA from 1 species